GACGAACGCUGGCGGCGUGCUUAACACAUGCAAGUCGAGCGGAAAGGCCCUUCGGGGUACUCGAGCGGCGAACGGGUGAGUAACACGUGAGUAAUCUGCCCCUCACUCAGGGAUAACCGCGGGAAGCUGCGGCUAAUACUUGAUAUGACCACGUCUCGCAUGGGGUGUGGUGGAAAGCGUUUAGUGGUGAGGGAUGUGCUCGCGGCCUAUCAGCUUGUUGGUGAGGUAGUGGCUCACCAAGGCUUCGACGGGUAGCCGGCCUGAGAGGGUGACCGGCCACACUGGGACUGAGACACGGCCCAGACUCCUACGGGAGGCAGCAGUGAGGAAUAUUGGACAAUGGGCGAAAGCCUGAUUCAGCAACGCCGCGUGAGGGAUGACGGCCUUCGGGUUGUAAACCUCUUUCACCUCUGACGAAGCGCAAGUGACGGUAAGGGGAGAAGAAGGACCGGCCAACUACGUGCCAGCAGCCGCCGUAAUAC
rnacentral:rRNA from 1 species